rnacentral:lncRNA from 1 species
AAGAUAUGGAAAGCAGAAAGAUAUGUAUCAACGUUGUGUGUCUUUAUAUUAUCAAUUUGUAACUGCAAUAUUUUGCUAAUAACUUACACAUCAAUUUAAUAUUUUAUGUGUAUCUUUAUCAUAAACUACUAGUUAAUUUAAACAACUACUAGACACAAUUAUAAAAGGAACAGUAGUAUACCGCUAUCCGAAAGUUAUAAAUCAAUUACGAAAAAACAAAUCCGGGUUACAGACUGAAACCGAGGUCAACACAUCAACUAUAAGAGGAAAACAACAGAACCACUGAAGUUGAACAAAAAAAAGUCAAUGCAACACACACAGAAACGAACAAUCAGAUACCAAUUUAUUUCGGUCUCGAAAUAGGAGUACAAAAUCGACUACCUUUAAUACAAUAGUACCUAAUUUCUAUAUGUUAAAUGGAAUUAUAAUAAUGAUAUGAUUUAUGUUGUUGAAUGAAUGUUUCAAUAGGUUUGAAAUACAACUGUUCAGCUUAUAAUCACAGGACGACUCCUUAACAUCCAAUGUCGUCAAGUCCAAAAUUGACGGAAACCCGUUGAUCUGUUCUCAAUUAGAUUGAUGUUUGAGUACUAGGCUCAACAUUUUUAAAUCAGUCCUCAAACUGAAUUGAAUCGUUUGGAAUAGUAGAUGACCAGCUCUCAAUUUGAAGCGUUUAGGGUAUAAAGCAUGUUAAGUGAGUAAUUUUGUAUAUUUGUAGUUAUGUGUAUACCAUUAUUCAAACUGUGUUUGUUUGUUUUGUUUUAUUUUAUAUAAGUAAUUGUACUUCUGAUGAUUUCUAUUCAUAUUUCUAAAAUGUCAAUUCUUUUGAAUCCGGAGUUUAUUGAGUGCAGAAGCUGGGAAAAUUUAUUUAUCUUGUAACUGACUUCUUCGAACAAUAGAGUGAUAACACAAAUACGGAAUUUUUAGGUAAAAAAAGGGAGGUCUACACAACUGUCAAAAUCAAUCAUCUAAUAUAAUCUUAUAAAAGAAAACGUAUUUCAUUUCCUAACUUGAUACUUGAUGGGUUUAUGUUUGAAUUGAAAACUAGCUUAACAUGUAACUAUAAGUGAUAGUAUCGCUAUCCUAACACAUUUGAACACAGCAACACAAAAUGUUAGCGUAACAAUCAAGUUUAAAAUUAAUAACUUAAACAACUUACAUUUUUUACAAAGAUUGGGACAUGCAGAGCAUAAGUAAGAGUACUAGCAAUAAGAUUUAAAUUCGGUUUAGCGUUUAGUGAUUUUCUAAAUAUCAGAUAAGUAACAAUAUAACAUAGGAGAGGCGAUACAUGUCAGGGGGUAUUUAAUCUCAUUAGUUAAAAACAAAUUACCAAUACCUUGGCAAUACAUGAAAAACAAUGAAAAGACAAACAAAAUGCAAAUCACAACCAUAUAUGCAUGUAGAAAAUAAGAAGAUACAAAUGAAUUCUAUUAACCAAGUUCAUUCAUAUCCAAUAAUUGUUUUGUAGAGUUCUGAUAGAUGUGCCGACAAAUUCAUGUAUGAAAAUGAGACCGGCUAAGAAAGAUGUAUUUAAAAUUAUCAAAAAUAGAAAAUAUAAAUGUUCAUUGUUUGCAAGUUAAGACAUAGUGCUUGAAUUCAUCAUUUUCACAUGUAGAACAUGUAGAAGUACAUGCAGAUUUCAUUAUUAUUAUAAAAUUGAAAACUGAACAAUACCAAAGUAUGAGAUAGAUGCCGUUAACUGGUAUAUGCAUUAAACAAUAAUAACGGAUCUGAUUGACAUAAUUAUGUAUGAUUUCAUUUUGACAAAAUGCGUACUGAACUGAGUACAGAUGUGUUUGUCUAUGCCAGCUCAACACACUGAUUAAUGUCAACAUUUGUGUGAUAAUUCAAAUAUGUAAAUCGGAUUACACGCUUUUGAAUUUGCUGUCGAAAAGCAACAUGAAUAAUGCCGAUUGUGGUAUGACCUGAUGUAAUUAUAAAUACUAAUAAACACAGUACAUGUUAUGGUAUAAUGAUAGUUGUUUUAAAAAUAAAAAUAAUAAAAAGAUUGCAUUAAGUCUGUUUUAUGUCAUGCAAGAAAUAUAAUUCAUCGUUUUACUUCAUGAUAAUGUUAUUUUAAAGGAAAAAAAAUAUAACUAAAAUGGUUCGACCUUACGCAUGUUAUGGCUCCCUUGUUUUUUUUUUCUUUUUCAUUUUUCAUUUUUUUUUCUGUUUUUUUUUCUUCUAAUGUUUUUUACUUGAUAAGCUCAUUAGUAACUCAUCUACAUAGUAUGAUUAAAUUGAUGACUGUAUAAACAUGAUAAAUAUGGUUUCAAAUGAGAUUGAUUUAUAGACUUGUAAGCUUAUUUUGGAAAAAUUGAACCAAACUGACUGUUUUUACAUUAAACAUGUUAAAUGUUUGAAUUAAAUAAAUAUAUAAGAAUUUUCAUUAUUUUUGUUUUAUUUUAAAGCUCAUUCAUUUGAGAAAGUGACGAAUGAGCAUACAAAAUAAAGAUAAAAAACCACAUUUUUUAAACAACCAUAAAAUGUCCCUUUCGGUGGCUGAAUUCCGGCA